rnacentral:rRNA from 1 species
CCUACGGGAGGCAGCAGUGAGGAAUAUUGGUCAAUGGACGAGAGUCUGAACCAGCCAAGUAGCGUGAAGGAUGACUGCCCUAUGGGUUGUAAACUUCUUUUAUAAAGGAAUAAAACGAGGCACGUGUGCCUUUUUGCAUGUACUUUAUGAAUAAGGAUCGGCUAACUCCGUGCCAGCAGCCGCGGUAAUACGGAGGAUCCGAGCGUUAUCCGGAUUUCUUGGGUUUAAAGGGAGCGUAGAUGGGUUGUUAAGUCAGUUGUGAAAGUUUGCGGCUCAACCGUAAAAUUGCAAUUGAUACUGGCAGUCUUGAGUACAGUUGAGGUAGGCGGAAUUCGUGGUGUAGCGGUGAAAUGCUUAGAUAUCACGAAGAACCCCGUUUGCGAAGGCAGCUUACUAAACUGUGACUGACAUUGAUGCUCGAAAGUGUGGGUAUCAAACAGGAUUAGAUACCCCAGUAGUC